rnacentral:rRNA from 1 species
UACGUAGGGGGCAAGCGUUGUCCGGAGUUACUGGGCGUAAAGCGCACGCAGGCGGUCUCUUAAGUUUGGAGUGACAGUUGGUGGCUUAACUGCCAAAGUGCUUCGAAAACUGAGAGACUUGAGGGCUUCAGAGGGACACGAAUCGGGUGUAGUGGUGAAAUGCGUAGAGAUCCGGAGGAACACCAGUGGCGAAGCGGCCGCCUGGAC